UAAAAAGAUAAACCUGAGUUUCUGUGUCCAAUAUUUAACUAUCCAUCUUAUAUGAAAAUUUUUUAUAAUUAGUUUUUUAUUGUUGUUAGAUGAUAAAACAUGAUUAAUACUUUAUACGUGACUUGUCUUUUUAAUAUUUUUUUCAUAUUUUUUUUAAAUAAGACAAACGGUCAAACGUUGGACACGGAAACCCAGGGUUUNNNNNNNN
rfam:Oryza meridionalis cultivar OR44 (W2112) chromosome 10, whole genome shotgun sequence.